GGUGGGAUGCAGCACAGAGGUGCCUAGGGAAGGAGCUGCGCAGGCAGGAGGGAGGGCGGGCAGGAGGGCAGGGCAGGAGAGCCCGGGGUGGGGAACCCAGGUGAUGCCAACUCAGGGCUGAGCCCCGGAGGACCCUGCACAAAGCAGGCAGCAGCGUUGUGUCCUGGCUUUCCAAGCUUUUCCUUAAAAAAAAUCUAGCG
rnacentral:lncRNA from 1 species